UUAUUAACUGCCUCACAUCCUCACAACAUGA
rnacentral:piRNA from 1 species